UACGUAGGUGGCAAGCGUUAUCCGGAUUUACUGGGUGUAAAGGGAGCGUAGGCGGCCUGGCAAGCCUGAUGUGAAAUACCGGGGCCCAACCCCGGGGCUGCAUUGGGAACUGCCAGGCUGGAGUGCCGGAGAGGCAGGCGGAAUUCCUAGUGUAGCGGUGAAAUGCAUAGAUAUCGCGCAGAACCCCGAUUGCGAAGGCAGCCUGCCGGCCCCACACUGACGCUGAGGCACGAAAGCGUGGGUAUCGAACAGG
rnacentral:rRNA from 1 species